GCGGGUCUCUCCUCCAGUCAUCUCCAAAAUAGAUCAUCCAGUACUCCCAAAAUCACCUUCAAAUUAGAUCAAAAUCAGCAAAAAUCAGUCAAAAAAGACCUCAAAAUUCCAAUAUAUAGCGAAUUAGAGAGUUGUUUGCGGGAUUCAAGAGCUCUCUUCGCGAUUGGGAUCGAGAUUACGAAGCCUUUGCAUCACUACCUGAUUCCGCUAUUGAUUUAGAGAGACUAAGCUCAGCUUUUUAGGGCUUCUGUUUUUCUGCAGAGUCAACAAUCGUGUUCCUUCUGCGGUAAUUCGUUUUCCUUCAAAGAGACCUCAUCAGCAAAUCGAGUUGAGGCCGCGCUCAGCUGCUGCUCUUCGUAAUCUCCUUCUCCGGCGAACUCGGCUGAGAAAUCGAGUGGCUCAACAACUCCUCCAUAAUCGACGGCACCGGAGGCGGUACCCUUUAGAGUUUCUCCAAAUCUGAAAAUCGGUUAUUCAACUCCAGGGUGAUCAGAGAAAGAAUGUUUCUGCAUUUCUUGUCCAGAUUCCUUUGCAAUACUCUGUGAGUUUCAAAGCUGUGAGCCAGCUAGGAAAAAUUUUCCAUGCUUUUCAAAGAUUGUGCGUGGAUGGGAAACAAACAAAUCUUGAGAGAUCCAUAACUAGGUGAAAGGUGGAGUAGAUGAAGAGAUGGAAGACGGAGGCAGUGGUGAAGAUCUAGGCCUUACUUGAAUUUUGAAUCGUUGAUUGUUGUAGAUGCAUGUGGCAGUUUCUAGGAAUGUUUAUUAUCAAAAUAUUUUAAAACUUUUGAUCUUGAAAUAUCAGAUGUAUGUUAUUGGUUUCAUCACUAUAUCUAUGGAUUUGUUAUUAGCUUGUCGGA